GGCGGACGGGUGAGUAACGCGUGGGUAACCUGCCUUAUACUGGGGGAUAACAGCCAGAAAUGACUGCUAAUACCGCAUAAGCGCACAGAACCGCAUGGUUCGGUGUGAAAAACUCCGGUGGUAUAAGAUGGACCCGCGUUGGAUUAGCUAGUUGGCAGGGCAGCGGCCUACCAAGGCGACGAUCCAUAGCCGGCCUGAGAGGGUGAACGGCCACAUUGGGACUGAGACACGGCCCAGACUCCUACGGGAGGCAGCAGUGGGGAAUAUUGCACAAUGGGGGAAACCCUGAUGCAGCGACGCCGCGUGAAGGAAGAAGUAUCUCGGUAUGUAAACUUCUAUCAGCAGGGAAGAUAAUGACGGUACCUGACUAAGAAGCCCCGGCUAACUACGUGCCAGCAGCCGCGGUAAUACGUAGGGGGCAAGCGUUAUCCGGAUUUACUGGGUGUAAAGGGAGCGUAGACGGCGCAGCAAGUCUGAUGUGAAAGGCAGGGGCUUAACCCCUGGACUGCAUUGGAAACUGCUGUGCUUGAGUGCCGGAGGGGUAAGCGGAAUUCCU
rnacentral:rRNA from 1 species